rnacentral:rRNA from 1 species
GACGAACGCUGGCGGCGUGCUUAACACAUGCAAGUCGAACGGAAAGGCCCUGCUUUUGUGGGGUGCUCGAGUGGCGAACGGGUGAGUAACACGUGAGUAACCUGCCCUUGACUUUGGGAUAACUUCAGGAAACUGGGGCUAAUACCGGAUAGGAGCUCCUGCUGCAUGGUGGGGGUUGGAAAGUUUCGGCGGUUGGGGAUGGACUCGCGGCUUAUCAGCUUGUUGGUGGGGUAGUGGCUUACCAAGGCUUUGACGGGUAGCCGGCCUGAGAGGGUGACCGGCCACAUUGGGACUGAGAUACGGCCCAAACUCCUACGGGGGGCAGCAGUGGGGAAUAUUGCACAAUGGGCUGAAGCCUGAUGCAGCAACGCCGCGUGCGGGAUGACGGCCUUCGGGUUGUAAACCGCUUUCGCCUGUGACGAAGCGUGAGUGACGGUAAUGGGUAAAGAAGCACCGGCUAACUACGUG